rnacentral:misc_RNA from 1 species
UCGGUUCCUCUGCAAAGGAUUUUGUGAUGGUGCUAGCCUAUGCUCGCAAGGUCCCAGACCCAGAAUAAUGCUUGUUUUCCAUAUUUCUACCCUUCAUAUCCUCACUAAUGAUGUGCUUUGAGCCUCAUUGAUGAUGAAACGGUGGAUUUACCUGGAUAGUAUAUUAUAAACAAGCAUUCCAUAGUUCCUCUACAGCAUUUGCAGCAAGCACAUUGCAGACUAUACUCUGCUGCAGGAUUGCAGCAGAUAGAAAGGGGAGGGAUGCUUGCAAUCAUCUUUGGAUGAACCGUGCAAGUGCUUGGAGACAAUAUUAUGCGAAAUACUUGAGUUUGUAACUAACAUGGUUUUCUCGGCUGCUAUGUAACCUUACACGCUACUUAGAUGCCAAGAAGCGUAGCUUUUACGGCAAGUAUUGAGAAACUACGUUAGAUGUACUCUUCCCAUGAAAUUUCUUGCAUGAUCCAGCA